CACCCCGUGCAGCACGGGCGCGAAAAACCGGAUCGCCCACUCCGCAUUGCCGAACACGGCGGUCGACAGCGCGAUCAUCCAAGCGAUCAGCGGCGGCUUGGAGUAGUAGCCAAAAUCCAGCGUCCGCGACCAACGCCAGUACUGCGCCUCAUCCGGCCCGAUCUCGAGCGGCGAUGCGAUCA
rnacentral:misc_RNA from 1 species